rnacentral:rRNA from 1 species
AUUGAACGCUGGCGGCAGGCCUAACACAUGCAAGUCGAACGGUAACAGGAAGCAGCUUGCUGCUUUGCUGACGAGUGGCGGACGGGUGAGUAAUGUCUGGGAAACUGCCUGAUGGAGGGGGAUAACUACUGGAAACGGUAGCUCAUACCGCAUAACGUCGCAAGACCAAAGAGGGGGACCUUCGGGCCUCUUGGCGUCGGAUGUGCCCAGAUGGGGUUAGCUAGUAGGUGGUGUAACGGCGUACCUAGGCGACGAUCCCUAGCUGGUCUGAGAAGAAGACGCGCAACACUGGGAGGGGGACACGGCGGAGAAUCAUACGGGAGGGAGCAGUGGGGAAUAUUGGACAGUGGGCGAAAGCAUGAUCCAGCAAUGCCGGGUAAGUGAUGAAGGCCGGAGGGUAGUAAAGCAAUUUUAACCCGGAUGAUAAUGACAGUACCGGGAGAAAAAGCGCCGGCUAACUCCGUG